GUUGUUGUUGUUGUUGUGCAAAGAAUAAAAGAAAUCAUGAACACCUGCGAAAGAGUGGGGGAGAAAGGCAUGUUUAAGAGAAUGUAACCUAAGGGCAGAGGCGGGCGACUGGCGCCGGGAGGAAGCCACAGUUUGAACAUUUAACCAAACACUCAAAGAUUGGGCAAACCCUGGCGUCCAGAUGCAACACACACACUCGCCUCGACAGCGCAAAUUAAACAUUAAAAUAGCAGAGACUCAAGGGAAAAACUUCCCAACCCAAUCUCCUAUUUGGAUCUCCAACAGCAGUGCUACAGGCGCCAGUCUGCUUCUCGUAACAAUUAUUUGAUUGAAAACAGCCCUUUAGUUAACAGAUAGGGAAGUCUGGGAUCCCACAUCACAGGGUUGAAGGCACAGGGUAGCAAUCCUCAACUAGCCCAGAGAAUCCCAGAGGACUAUAGUUUUAGGGAAGGAGGAUCACUAUGGAAUUUGUGGCGGUAAGAUUAAUUACAGUGGAGGUUAGUACCUCAUAGUACCAGAGGACUCGUAGGAAGAUCCAGGGCAUUACAUUUGCUACAAAGCCAAUACACACGUUCCUCGGCCGCCUUCGUAGUAAGUUAUUGGCAUCAUUUCCUUUUAAAGGAAAAUGUUCUGUGAUCUCGAGCACCCAAAGCUACAAGCUCCUUCAUGUCUAGUGAGACAAUGUAGUACGGGUAACACCGCGAAGUAAGCAUGCAUUUACCAAAUCAGACAUUUUAUAGAUACACAAGCAAAAACACAUGCGCGCGCGCGCACACACACCGAGGGGCAGUUUACCCACGGGUGGCACAAGCAAACACUCACCGCUUAUUCAGCCACACAGUGCUUUGCUGUCAUUUGACAUUAACUCAGAAGGGAAUUCAGAAGCCUGGAAAGAAAGAGGAUAAAGAGUACGAGGUUAAGACAAUGUUAAGUAGAAAGGGUUUUUUUUUUUUUUUUUUUUUUUUUGUAGUCCACAGACCAGCAAGUUCCAUUAAACACGUUUAUGGUAACAAUUCAGAUUUAAAGACAGACGCAUUAACAUGUCAGAACUUACUAGCAAUUUCACGCACAGCUCAAUCUACAGCAGAUUCUGAAGAAAAUAAAGUUAAAUAGCUCAUACGAAAGUCACCGUCUGGGCUACGGAUCUCCUAGUGACAGCCCAGACGACCGCGGGAGUGUGCGGCGGCGGGGCGGGGACCCCGGAGCAGGUCUUACCUGCAAGGACAGGAUGCUGAUAUCCGUGUUGAGGGUGGUCAGCGGCGUCCUGGACGCCUGGUUCUGCCCGGGUCUCUGGUGAUGCAGGCUGACAAUAGUGGGAUGCGAGUCCAGGGCGAUCUGCAGGUCCAAGAUGUAGUCGAUGACGUGCUGCAGGAUUUCCAUCUUGCUCACCUUCUUGUUCUGGGGGAUGCUGGGCACCAGCUCCUUGAGCUUGGAGUAGCAGUCGUUCAUGUUGUAUAGCAGGCUCAUCGGGUCGUCCACAGGGGUUUUGCUCCGGGAGAUGCCCAGGCUGUGGUCCGACAGGCUGUUUUUCCUAACGGACCUCACGGGACUGAAGGCUUUCAUGCUGACCGCGAGGGAAGGCGAGACCGGGAGGGAGCUGGCUGCCCUGAAGCUCAGGCCGCCGCUGCCGCCUGCUGAGCUAGCUGCGCUUGGCACCGGGCUCGGCUCAGAAUGAAGCCCGAGCCCGGCGGGGCGGCUUUUAUCCGCACUCGCCGGGGCCACACGCUGGAGCUUCCCUUCGUCCCCAUUGGCGGAAGGUGGCACGUCUAUCAAGACGAGCGGGCGCUUCCAUUGGUGGGCGCGGGCGCGGGGCGUGGGCUUGGUUCUUCCGCGUUCGCAGCCAAUCCCCGCGGGGUGGGCGGGGCGCGAGCCCAGCUGGGGUGGUAAAUAGAGUACAGUACAAAAGCGGAAGGGGCAGGCCUAGAAGCUGAAAGAAAAGCUCGAUAAUGGGGAAACAGUGUUUUUUCCUUCAAUUAAUGAUUAAUUUCUCAGCUGGUGGGGCCAGCAGUCUCUGACCGUCACGUGACAGCUAUGCGCCCCAUGACGCCUCUCCAGGGAGGCAGAGUGGGUGGCACUGAGGUGGAGCUCACCUUCCUGAAAUUCAGCCCCCUCAGUUUGGAGGAAGGAGGUAAACUGUUUCCUGUCCAGCCAGAAGUUUGCGGAGGGCCUUCCCCAGGCCAGGCAAUGCUGCCUGCGACUCUGUCCCUGACAGCGUUGGAUGCACCGUAUCUCUUCUGAUAUUAAGUCUGGAAGUGAUUUACUAUCCGAGUCCUCCCACAGUUCGAGCCUUUUGAUGUACUUUGUGUGCAUGUGUUUCUGUCACAUACGUGCCACAGUGGAACAGAUUUUGUUUUGACACUAUUUUGGUUCAUGAUGUUAUACUUUGACUAUUUUACAAUAAUAGCCAAUGUAAACAAACAUCUUUGGGAUUCUCAAAUUAUUACUUAUGAUUCUUGGACAUUGCAGCUCUUCGAUACUGACGCAUUCCUAGCUUUUUCCAAGGACACCGUAUGUUAACAUCCGUGCCAGCCUCAUUAUCCCCACAGCCAGGCUCUGGGUUGGGCGGUAAUGAGCAUUGUGCGGUUUCACUUUACACUUUGCAAAGUUGAUUAAGGCAGUGCCUUCUCCCAUGAUCAUUUUUGUACCCUGAUGUAGUAAAAUGGCUAAAUAUGGUGAAAGUUUUCUGGUGUUUCUUUCUUUAGCUGCCAUGUCAGAGUCCAGUCUGCCUGGCUGUGUUGAAUUCGAUUCUAUUGGCACGCUACCCAGUUUUACAUUCAUUUAAAGAUCAUUUAAAGGGGAUUACGAAGCUGUAUAAGUUAAUGAUUUAAACGAGGCCUAAGUUACUAGUGUGUCUGUUUCAGCACGCCCAAUAUGAAAUCACCUUAAAAAUUGCUUUCGUGGGGGAAAAUCGUGUCGGAGCAUUUUCCAAGUGGGUUUAAAGGCAAGUCAAAAUCUGUCAAUUGGUGGCUUGGGUGGGUUUGCAUUUGAGGCCUCCAAAGUUCAAACGGCCCCAGCUAGAGGGAGGGCUAGAUCCGCGGGCGGUGGGAAGGUGUGCAGGGCUUCCGCUGGUGGGUGUUGGUGCGGUUCCCCUCGACUCCCCACCGGGACGCCCCCACCCCGUGGCAGCGACAGACCGGCCCGUAAGGUCCCCCAGCCUGGCUCCAGGACUCACUCACUCCGCCUCUAGGGCAGGCCCCGCGGCGGCUCUCGCGUCCGGGCCCCUCGCGGUAAUCAGAAGCAGCUCCGGGCCGGGAGCUCCGCGCUGGCCAGGCCGCCUUUGCCACCCCCGCGUGAUGCGCCGGGGGGCGGGAGGAGCCUGCGGGGGCGGGGGGCGCGUCUCAAGGUCCUCCCUGCACAUCUGGCGCAAUGGGGAGCGUUCGCCUUUCUUUCCCGGGUUUUGUUCUCACAGCUGUGUCCAUUCCGCC
rnacentral:lncRNA from 1 species